rnacentral:rRNA from 1 species
GAUGAACGCUGGCGGCGUGCCUAAUACAUGCAAGUCGAACGAACAGACGCUGCUCUUGCUGCUCUCUCGUUAGGCGAGGGGGUGUGAGUAACGCGUGGAUAACCUCCCUAUAAUUCUGGUAUAACUUCGGGACGCGGGCGCUUAUCGCAGAUAAUAUUUUGAACCGCAUGGGGCGAUAGUAAGAGACGGUGUUUGUGUCACUAAUAGAUGGAUCUGGGCUGCAUUAGCUGGUUGGUACGGUAACGGCCUACGACGGCAAGGAUGCGUAGCCGACCUGAGAGGGGGAUAGGCGACAUUGGAACUGAGACACGGUCCAGACUCCUACGGGAGGCAGCAGUAGGGAAUCGGACGCAAAGGGCGAAAGCCUGACGGAGCAACGCCGAGUGAGUGAUGACGGUCUUGGGAUCGUAAAACUGGGUUAUUAGGUAAAAACAGAUGUGGAAGGAACUGUGGACUUCUUGACGGUAACGAGUCAGAAAGCCACGGCUAACUACGUG